rnacentral:rRNA from 1 species
AUGGACAGCCGCGCCUGUCUUCGUCGCCACCGGCAGGAGCAGGAGCCCCAUGACCUUCGCCGUCAUCCUGCCUACUCGGAGGACCUCCCGCGCCGCCUCUCCUCUGGUUUCUCCUCGUCGCCGUCUUCUGCACCCCGGCCCCCCUCGGCAUCACUUCGCCCGUCACCGGCCACCGGUGCCCUCGCUGGAGCUUCUGUGAGCUACCCCGCGCCCCUGCCGAACCCUCCCGGUGACCUGCAAGCUCGCACCGCGUCGUCCUUUUCAGUCAAGUCCAUCGCCGCCUUCUCGCCAGCCCUGCUCAAGCUCCGUCGCUGCUCACCCUUGGCACCAUGGCCCCUGCCUCCUUUGGAUGACCUCCUGCCGCCGUGCACAUCUUCUCCCGUGCCCUGUUGUGCGCGAUCUCCGCUGCCUGGCAUUGUUGCCGUCAACCCAUGGGUGAAAAAUUCAUCUUCUAGAGUCGUCAAAAUGCACAGUACGACUACAGGAUGA